AUGGCGACCCCCGGCACCUGCACAACUUUUCUCGCUGUGUUUGCGCUCAUUUCUGCGCUUUUAAUUGGGUUUUAUGGCGCCGGUUCGGGUGUAACAUGGCCGGUUGUGUUUCUGACCGCUGUUACCGGGCUGGGGUCGCUGUGGCUGCGGCGGAGGGACGGCGGAACUGAGCGGCGUGUGUGUGUUCUGGUGCUGGGGGAUUUGGGUCGCAGUCCCCGGAUGCAGUAUCACGCUCUGUCCCUCAGCAAACACGGGUAUAAUGUUACUUUUGUCGGGUUUUUAGAUACCAAACCUCAUCAGGAAGUGUUGAGAGAGGAAAAGAUAAAGCUGGUGCCAAUAGCAGAGGUUAAAGGAGUACACGUGGGACCAAAAAUCCUGACGUAUGUGACGAAGGUGAUCCUCCAGUGUCUGCAGCUGCUUUACGUGCUGCUGAGGAUGGAAACACAGUCUCAUAUAUUAAUGCAGAAUCCCCCGGGGCUGCCUGGCAUCGCGGUGGCGUGGCUCGUGUGCGUCCUGCGUGGCAGCAGGUUCGUCAUCGACUGGCACAACUACGGCUACACCAUCAUGGCUCUGAGCCACGGGGACACGCACCCUGUGGUGAGGCUCGCAAAGUGGUACGAGCACUUUUUCGGCCCGCUGGCCUCUCGUAACCUGUGUGUCACCAAUGCAAUGAAGGAUGACCUGCAGAAAAACUGGGGCAUCAAGGCGACCACUCUGUACGACUGUCCGCCCUCCAUCUUCAGAGAGACUCCUCUGAAGCUGCAGCACGGGCUCUUCAUGAGACUCGCCAACACGUAUCCUCAGUUCCAGAGCAGAGGGUGUGAGGAGGAUAAGCAGGUGGAGCGGUCGGUGUUCUCAGAGUGUGAUCUCUGUGAGGAGGCGGUGACGCUGAGGGCGGAGCGGCCGGCGCUGCUGCUGAGCAGCACCAGCUGGACCGAGGACGAAGACUUCUCCGUCCUACUGAAGGCUCUUGAAGAUUAUGAAGGUUUUAUAAAAGCAGGAGCUUCGUUGCCAUCUUUAGUCUGUGUGAUCACAGGUAAAGGUCCUCAGAAGGAGUACUACAGGAAGCUGAUUGACUCUCUGCAGUUGGAGCAUGUGCAGAUCUGCACACCGUGGCUGGAGGCCGAAGACUAUCCUGUGUUACUGGGCUCAGCAGAUCUGGGUGUGUGUCUCCACAAGUCCUCCAGCGGUCUGGACCUCCCCAUGAAGGUGGUGGACAUGUUCGGCUGCUGCCUGCCCGUCUGCGCCAUCCACUUCCACUGUUUACACGAGCUGGUGAAGCACGAGGAGAACGGGCUGAUCUUCAGAGACGCUCAGGAGCUCGCUGAGCAGCUCAAGUCUCUGCUCUCAGAGUUCCCCGGGUCAGGGGGCCAGCUCGGGGCCUUCAGGAUGACCCUGCGGCGCAGCAGGGGGCCAGGCUGGGACGAGAACUGGGACCAGAAUGUCCUACCUCUCCUCUCCGCUCCCUGAGGGACACCAGGAGGGACAUUUAAUGGACAAUACUCAUUUUUCAGACCAAAAACGCAUCUAAAUCUCACCUUUUGAAUUCUGCCUCGUUACAUUAAAGAGGAAGGAAUGAGUCUGAUUAACUUUAAAAAAUGAGAUGCAGCAGCAACACAGUCAUCUGUACAGUUGGAUCAUUUCUAUAGCAGAGCCUCUGCUGUAAGGGAACACGUGGCUGACGGCUCCUGUCAUCACCCGAUGGCUGAUUCCUGCUUUUUCUGUCAAAAUAAAACACAUUCAGUCAGAACACCUCAUGAUAUUAAGGGCAUUAAAGCCCUCAUAAAAUAAAAAUCAUUCGGAUUUACCCACAAGAGAUCUCAGUAUAUCUAAUAAUUAACAAAUCAAAUACCGUU